rnacentral:rRNA from 1 species
CCUACGGGAGGCAGCAGUGGGGAAUAUUGGACAAUGGGGGCAACCCUGAUCCAGCCAUGCCGCGUGUGUGAAGAAGGCCCUCGGGUUGUAAAGCACUUUCAGUGAGGAAGAACGCCUGGUGGUUAAUACCCAUCAGGAAAGACAUCACUCACAGAAGAAGCACCGGCUAACUCCGUGCCAGCAGCCGCGGUAAUACGGAGGGUGCGAGCGUUAAUCGGAAUUACCGGGCGUAAAGCGCGCGUAGGUGGCUUGAUAAGCCGGUUGUGAAAGCCCCGGGCUCAACCUGGGAACGGCAUCCGGAACUGUCAAGCUAGAGUGCAGGAGAGGAAGGUAGAAUUCCCGGUGUAGCGGUGAAAUGCGUAGAGAUCGGGAGGAAUACCAGUGGCGAAGGCGGCCUUCUGGACUGACACUGACACUGAGGUGCGAAAGCGUGGGUAGCAAACAGGAUUAGAUAGCCCAGUAGUC